rnacentral:rRNA from 1 species
UACCAGCACCCCGAGUGGUCGGGACGAUUAUUGGGCCUAAAGCAUCCGUAGCCGGUCAUGCAAGUCUUCCGUUAAAUCCAGCCGCUCAACGGUUGGGCUGCGGAGGAUACUACGUGGCUAGGAGGCGGGAGAGGCAAGCGGUACUCAGUGGGUAGGGGUAAAAUCCUUUGAUCCAUUGAAGACCACCAGUGGCGAAGGCGGCUUGCCAGAACGCACGGACGGUGAGGGAUGAAAGCUGGGGGAGCAAACCGGAU